rnacentral:rRNA from 1 species
UACGGGGGGGGCAAGCGUUGUUCGGAAUUACUGGGCGUAAAGGGUGCGUAGGUGGCGAUGAAAGUUCGAUGUGAAAUCUCCGGGCUUAACCCGGAAAAGGCAUUGAAAACUAUGUUGCUUGAGGUUUGGAGGGGGGACUGGAAUUCUUGGUGUAGCAGUGAAAUGCGUAGAUAUCAAGAGGAACACCAGUGGCGAAGGCGGGUCCCUGGACAACACCUGACACUGAGGCACGAAAGCGUGGGUAGCAAACAGG